GAUGAAGAACGCAGCGAAAUGCGAUACUUGGUGUGAAUUGCAGAAUCCCGUGAACCAUCGAGUCUUUGAACGCAAGUUGCGCCCGAAGCCAUUAGGCCGAGGGCACGCCUGCCUGGGCGUCACACGUCGUUGCCCCCCCAUCUACUCCUUCGGGAUUGCGGGGGGCGGAUGAUGGCCUCCCGUGCGCCUCGCCGCGCGGUUGGCAUAAAUGCCAAGUCCUCGGCGACGCACGCCACGACAAUCGGUGGUUGCGAAACCUCGGUUGCCCGUCGUGUGCGGUCGUCGCGCAUCGAGGGCUCGAAAAAAUUGCCGGGUUCCGGCUCGGCUUUCAACGCGACCCCAGGUCAGGCGGGGUUACCCGCUGAAUUUAAGCAUACAAUAAGCGGAGGA
rnacentral:misc_RNA from 1 species